rnacentral:tRNA from 1 species
AUGCUGAUGUCUGAUAAAAGUGGAAAUUUGUAAAAUUUUUUAUGAGGUUUGUUAAUGCCUUUCAGUAUA